rnacentral:rRNA from 1 species
UACGUAGGGGGCAAGCGUUGUCCGGAAUCAUUGGGCGUAAAGCGCGUGUAGGCGGCUCGGUAAGUCUGCUGUGAAAGUCCAGGGCUCAACCCUGGGAUGCCGGUGGAUACUGUCGAGCUCGAGUCCGGAAGAGGCGAGUGGAAUUCCUGGUGUAGCGGUGGAAUGCGCAGAUAUCAGGAGGAACACCUAUAGCGAAGGCAGCUUGCUGGGACGUUACUGACGCUAAGGCGCGAAAGCGUGGGGAGCAAACAGGG